GUUAGCAUGGUGAAGUGGUUUGAGUGUUGGACUAUGACUCCGGAGACCAGGGUUCGAUUCCCAGCUCAGCCA
rnacentral:tRNA from 1 species